rnacentral:rRNA from 1 species
GAUGAACGCUGGCGGCGUGCCUAAUACAUGCAAGUCGAGCGAACAGACGCUGAUCUUGCUCCUCUGACGUUAGCGGCGGACGGGUGAGUCACACGUGUAUAACCUACCUAUAAGUCUGGGAUAUCUUCGGGACACCGGAUCUUAUACCAGAUGAUAUAUUGAUGCACAUGGGUCAAUAGUGAAAGUCGGUUUUUCUGUCACUUCUCGAUGCAUCUGCGCGGCAUUAGGUAGUUGUUACGGUAACGGCUUACCAAGGCAACGAGGCGUAGCCGACGUCAGAGGCUGAUAGCCGACACGAGAAGUGAGACAGGCUCAAGACUACUACGGGAGGCAGCAGUAGGGAAUCUGCCGCAGUGGGCGAAAGCAUGACGGAGCAACGCCGCGUGAGUGAUGACAGUCUUCGGAGCGUAAAACUGUGUUAUUAGGUAAGAACAAAUGUGUAAGUAAACAUGGCCGGAUUGACGGUAACUAAUAAGAAAGCAACGGCUAACUACGUG